GACGAACGCUGGCGGCGUGCCUAAUACAUGCAAGUAGAACGCUGAAGGAGGAGCUUGCUCUUCUGGAUGAGUUGCGAACGGAUGAGUAACGCGUAGGUAACCUGCCUGGUAGCGGGGGAUAACUAUUGGAAACGAUAGCUAAUACCGCAUAACAGUAGAUGUUGCAUGACAUUUGCUUAAAAGGUGCAAUUGCACCACUACCAGAUGGACCUGCGUUGUAUUAGCUAGUUGGUGGGGUAACGGCUCACCAAGGCGACGAUACAUAGCUGACCUGAGAGGGUGAUCGGCCACACUGGGACUGAGACACGGCCCAGACUCCUACGGGAGGCAGCAGUAGGGAAUCUUCGGCAAUAGACGGAAGUCUGACCGAGCAACGCCGCGUGAGUGAAGAAGGUUUUCGGAUCGUAAAGCUCUGUUGUAAGAGAAGAACGAGUGUGAGAGUGGAAAGUUCACAGUGUGACGGUACCUUACCAGAAAGCGACGGCUAACUACGUG
rnacentral:rRNA from 1 species